UUAAAUCAGUUAUUGUUUAUUUGAUAGUACCUUACUACUUGGAUAACCGUGGUAAUUCUAGAGCUAAUACAUGCUAAAAACCCCGACUUCGGGAGGGGUGUAUUUAUUAGAUUAAAAACCAAUGCCCUCCGGGGCUUCUUGGUGAUUCAUGAUAACUUCUCGGAUCGCACGGCCUUGCGCCGGCGACGGUUCAUUCAAAUUUCUGCCCUAUCAACUUUCGACGGCUGGGUAUUGGCCAGCCGUGGUGACAACGGGUAACGGAGGGUUAGGGCUCGACCCCGGAGAAAACGCCUGAGAAACGGCGUUUACAUCCAAGGAAGGCAGCAGGCGCGCAAAUUACCCAAUGCCGACUCGGCGAGGUAGUGACGAUAAAUACUGGUACGGGGCUCUUUCGGGUCUCGUAACUGGAAUGAGUACAAUUUAAAUCCCUUAACGAGGAACAAUUGGAGGGCAAGUCUGGUGCCAGCAGCCGCGGUAAUUCCAGCUCCAAUAGCGUAUAUUAAAAUUGUUGAGAUUAAAAAGCUCGUAGUUGAACCUUGGGCCUGGCUGGCCGGUCCGCCUCACCGCGUGCACUGGUCCGGCCGGGCCUUUCCCUCCGGGGAACCCCAUGCCCUUUACUGGGCGUGGCGGGGAACCGGGACUUUUACUUUGAAAAAAUUAGAGUGUUCAAAGCAGGCCUAUGCUCGGAUACAUUAGCAUGGAAUAAUAGAAUAGGACGUGCGGUUCUAUUUUGUUGGUUUCUAGGACCGCCGUAAUGAUUAAUAGGGACAGUCGGGGGCGUCAGUAUUCAAUUGUCAGAGGUGAAAUUCUUGGAUUUAUUGAAGACUAACUACUGCGAAGGCAUUCGUCAAGGAUGUUUUCAUUAAUCAGGAACGAAAGUUAGGGGAUCGAAGACGAUCAGAUACCGUCGUAGUCUUAACCGUAAACUAUUAAGUCUAGGGAUCGGACGGUGGUUCUAUUUGCCCCGUCCGGC
rnacentral:rRNA from 1 species